rnacentral:lncRNA from 1 species
CCUGAGAUGUAAUCACAGGCGUCCUUGUAAGGAGAUGGCGGAGGGGCGCUGGGCCACAGAGGAGACCAUGAGGAGUUGGGGGUCAGACCGUUAGAAUUCGAAUUCUGAGGUGAUCGUUCAUUACCUCUGACUGCCGACCAUCCACGUCUUCGUCAGGAAUACCACAUUCCCAGGCACCGCACACAGGGUAGACAACACUGAAAGCUGAGCAAACAAGAAUCCAGCC